AGCCCAAAUCUAGACCUGACCUGGAGGCACAGUCUCGCAGGCUCUUGCUCCCUGUGCCCAGUAGCAGUUUGAGUCCGGGACACUCCCCAGGGCCAUCUGGGGCUGCCCAGGCACUACAGCCAGCAGAAGACACUACUGGUGUCCCUGAUGUUUGGUCAUUUCCAAGGCCAGUAACUACAAUGGUUCUCCCACACCUGGAAGCUGAUGAGUAAUGAGCACUAUUAAUGCUAUUUCAAAUGCAAAAAAACCUUGAGAUAAUGUACUAAAUUGUUCAGAAGGUUGUUUUCUUAGUAGAAUGCUACAGGAUUUUCUUUAGCCAUCCAGAGUUCCUGCCUUCGUCCCAGUGCCAGUAAAGACCAAGGUGGAAGAAUUUCCAGUGUUGCUGAAAACCAGAUGAGACUUCGGCUGAGAAAUG
rnacentral:lncRNA from 1 species